rnacentral:lncRNA from 1 species
ACUCCACUCGUGUUAUGAUUCUAACAUCCCACAUCGGCCAAGUAUGGGCUUGGCCAUGUGUACACAAGCCCUUGGCCACCCUCCCUUUGGAUUUCCAGGGCAAGUUCUAAAAAAGGUUUGUAUCAUAUUCUUUCUUCCCUUUCAGUCUUCUGUAUUCUAAUUUUGACUAUAUUUGGAUUAUGAUCAAGGGAGGAGUUCAUGGAAGAAAAAAAAGUAAAGGAAAGAUAGUAAAUCUAAACCGUUUGAAUAUUUUAACUUUUUUAUGUAUGUUUCUUUUCCUUC